UGCGCAGGCGGGGCAAUAAGUCAGUGGUGAAAUCCUGCGGCUUAACCGUAGAACUGCCAUUGAUACUGUUGCCCUUGAGUAUAGUUGAGGUGGGCGGAAUAUGUAAUGUAGCGGUGAAAUGCAUAGAUAUUACAUAGAACACCAAUUGCGAAGGCAGCUCACUAAGCUAUCACUGGCGCUGAGGCACGAAAGCGUGGGGAGCGAACAGGAUUAGAUACCCUGGUAGUCC
rnacentral:rRNA from 1 species